rnacentral:lncRNA from 1 species
CUUCCUGGCCAAAUACCAUCUAAAUCACCUCCUUUAUGAGAAACUUUAUUUCUCUUGCAGAAUUAAAACUUAAAUGCUAAGGCUGGGGAUGUAGCUCAGUGAUGCUGAGCCUGUCUGGCAAGCUCAAGGUUCCAAGUUCGAGCCCCAGUAAUGAAGGAAAAACAACAACAACAACAACAACAACAACAACAAAAACAAACAACCAAAAACUUAAAUGGAAAUUCAAGAAACUACCGAUAGAAUUACAUCAUGAGGCCUGGACAUCAGUGUCCUCCAGGGAGCCUGUGGUCAGGAGGCUGUUCCAGAGCUGUCCCACAUCCUUCUUGUUUCCCACCCAGGUCUCAUUGCACCUGAACAGACCCAUGCGUCAAAGCCAGGUUUGCUUCUUCCUCUUUUCACUUCAACUUUCUCCCUCAAUCUCAG